rnacentral:misc_RNA from 1 species
AGUUGUUUACAAAGGCGUAAUUGAAGAUGGAAUUCAGAUUGCAGUGAAGAGAAUGGAAUCUGCGAUUAUCAAUAGCAAGGCAUUGGAUGAAUUUCAAGCAGAAAUAGCUGUGCUUUCUAAGGUUCGGCAUCGCCAUUUAGUUUCACUUUUGGGUUAUUCUGUUGAAGGAAAUGAGAGGCUUUUGGUAUAUGAAUAUAUGUCAAAGGGCGCUUUGAGUAGACAUCUUUUCCGCUGGAAGAUCCUGAAGUUGGAGCCUUUAUCAUGGACAAAGAGACUCAAUAUUGCUCUAGAUGUCGCUCGAGGGAUGGAGUACCUUCAUA